rnacentral:rRNA from 1 species
UACGUAGGGUGCAAGCGUUAAUCGGAAUUACUGGGCGUAAAGCGUGCGCAGGCGGUUUUGUAAGUCUGAUGUGAAAGCCCUGGGCUCAACCUGGGAAUUGCAUUGGAUACUGGCAGGCUAGAGUGCGGUAGAGGGUAGUGGAAUUCCCGGUGUAGCAGUGAAAUGCGUAGAGAUCGGGAGGAACACCAGUGGCGAAGGCGACUACCUGGACCAGCACUGACACUGAGGCACGAAAGCGUGGGGAGCAAACAGG